rnacentral:rRNA from 1 species
AGUGAACGCUGGCGGUAGGCCUAACACAUGCAAGUCGAACGGCAGCACAGUAAGAGCUUGCUCUUACGGGUGGCGAGUGGCGGACGGGUGAGGAAUACAUCGGAAUCUACUUUUUCGUGGGGGAUAACGUAGGGAAACUUACGCUAAUACCGCAUCCGACCUACGGGUGAAAGCAGGGGAUCUUCGGACCUUGCGCGAUUGAAUGAGCCGAUGUCGGAUUAGCUAGUUGGCGGGGUAAAGGCCCACCAAGGCGACGAUCCGUAGCUGGUCUGAGAGGAUGAUCAGCCACACUGGAACUGAGACACGGUCCAGACUCCUACGGGAGGCAGCAGUGGGGAAUAUUGGACAAUGGGCGCAAGCCUGAUCCAGCCACACCGCGUGGGUGAAGAAGGCCUUCGGGUUGUAAAGCCCUUUUGUUGGGAAAGAAAAGCAGCAGGUUAAUACCCCGCUGUUCUGACGGUACCCAAAGAAUAAGCACCGGCUAACUUCGUG